GCAACAGCAAGCGCGGACGGCGCAGGGCGGCGGAGCGAGAGGCGGACGCGGCCAUUCACCUCCGCGGCCCGCUCCUACUGCGCAGCCCCGGGGCCCGCCCAUCGCUACGUCUCCGGUUCGGGGGCGGGUCUUCUCGAAACAGCCAAUCCGAACCCUGGAAACGUCAUCUUACGGGGCCUGGGGGAGGGACUUCGUCUUUUUACAACUUUCGGACUCGACGCCAGAAGUGGAGCUCUUCAAGCGGGGCGGGGUAAAGGGGCGGGUCUCCGCGCUCGAACGGAACUCGAGAGCUCGGGGCUGGCCGUUCAGAGACCAGGCUUCCUGAGGAGCCGGCCUUUGCACUCCCAAGGCCGAAGAGCGUGCCGGGCGGGGCUCCGCCUCCCAGAAAACAUCGAGUCCUACGUCCGGAGCUCUGCUGUCCGAAAAACAGCGAGCCGAGGGGGCGGCAGCGCGCCAGCCAAACGGCACCGAGUUCAGGGAUCGCGGCUCCUGCUUGCGGCCGAUCCCGCAUCCCGCACCCGGCGGCACUCCUCCCUCUAACCAAUACGGAGCCCAGAGGUCCGCGUCCAGGGGACGGGGCUCAGUCCGCCAACCAUCUCCGAGGGGAGGGUCCGCGGCUCCACCCUCCAACCAAUAGGAAGGGUCAGUGCCCGCACUUUGUUUACCAAACAACCCAAAGUCCGAGGGGCGCGGUUCCGCCUUCCAUCCACUCCGGAGCGGAGAAAAGGUAGCCCCGCCCUCCAACCAAUAAGGACCAGAAGGGACGGGGCUCCUCUUCCCGAGCAAAACAAAGUCUAGGGGGCGAGGCUGCGACCUCCAACUGUCGCCGAGCUGAGUGGUAGUGGCUCCGCCCUCCAGCCAAUAGGGAGCGGAGGGGGCGGAACCUCGAUUUCCAAACAGGGAAUCCAUGGGGCGAUCCGAGAACUUCCAGGGAUCUCCAAGUUCGUGGCCCGUGGCUCCGCCCUCUCCCCAAUAUGGAGGAGAAGGAGCGAAACCUCGCUUUCCAAACAAAAGGUCUGGGGAGCGGGGCUUGGCUCUGUAACCGUCCCCCCUGUAAGAGAAUGUAACUCUGUCGUCCUGCCAAUAAGGGGGAAAGGAGGCGAGGUUGGCCGGGAGAAGUUGCCUUCAGAGAGAGGCCACGAAGGAUUGGACUUGGGUCGCCCGAACCAGGAGAAAUGCGGAGAGGGAGGCCGGACCUUCCGGCUUAGGGGCGGGCCUUCGUCCUUCCACCAAUGGGGAGCCGCCGGGCCGGGACUGGAGCGGCCGGGGAAGGACUGGGAGGACACAGGCCCCGCCCAGCGGGAAUGAACCGCGGGAGUGUGACUGCUGCGGCCGAACGGGGAGGAGCUGAGCAAGGAAGGCUCGGCUCCUCGCAUCCGGCCAGGUCCGGGGGACUGGACCCUGACCCCCCGCGGACAAGAAGGGCGGUCCAAGGGGACGGUGCUGGGACUUCCAGCCAAUAAAGAGCUGAAGGAGGCAGGUCCCGCCUUGCGUCCGGCGCCGUUACGAAGGGACGAUGUUGCUCCCUCAGACCAUUGGCGAGUUGAGGGGGCGGUGCUUGGUCUCCCACCCAAUAACGAGCUGAUGCGGGGAGCCUCCGCCCUUCGGCCUUCCCCCAGCCGAAGGGAGGUGGCUCCGCCCUCACGCCGGUGACGGACGGUAGAAGUUCCCCUCGGAACGAGGAACGGGCUAGUGGGACGUUCCCCUGGUUCCCAGCAAUCGCCUUGCUGAGGGGGCGGGGCUCGGCUCUCCCGCCGAUGGCGGUCCCCCGGGGCGGGGCUGCGUCUUCCCUUCACGCCGGCACCUCUGGUGAGCUGGGCCGCCCCCCAGCCUUCCCCUCGCGGGCCGGGGGUGCUACCCGACACGUGCCUCCAGGGUUGAGGCACGGGCUGGGGAGCGGGCCUGGUACCCAGGCGCGGGCUGACUGGGUGCGCCGCUGUCUUCCGAGGCCUGUGGUCCGAAACGUUCCGCAGAGCAGGCCGGGGCGCUGCUCCUCCGAAACUGCCGAGCGCCGCGGGGUCUGGGGGCGGAGCUCGGCAUUCCCGUCUCCGCGGAGGCGGAGAGACCCCGGCGCUCCGGCCCACCACGAAUACGGAGCCCAGGGGCCGCGGCUCGGCUUUCCAGCCCUCCCACGGCUGCCCCGUCGAAGAGCCCCUGCUUCGGCUCACUACCACUACCGAGCCCAGGGGCCGGGACUCGGCAGUGCCCCGGCCUCGAGCCCGGGAGUCCACCACUCCCCACCCCGCGGAUGGGCUCCGCCCCCCGGCCCAGGAGCCGGCCAAUCGGCCCCGUGUGCCGCCCGCGGGGCCCCGCCCCUCUACCAAUAGAGGGCCCCGCGGCGGAGGCUCCGCCUUCCCGCCGUCACCGCUCAAAUCCACAGCGGCCCGGGUGGCGGGCCUCCGCAUCGGAUCAACCACGGCGGGGAGGGGGCGGGCCUUGGCGUUUUCCCGCCCCCACGCCCGGCCGGGCCGGCUCUCAGCUCUGGGCAGAGCGCCCCGCCGCCUCGGCCUCGCUCC
rnacentral:lncRNA from 1 species